GCAACCAAACGUGUAUCAACUCACAGGGGAAUUACUCGUGUUCUUGUAAUCCUGGCUUUGAGCUCGAUGAUGAUGGGUUUACAUGCAGUGAUACCAAUGAAUGUAAUGCAACAGACGUGUGUAGUAAUGGGGACUGUACAAAUACAUAUGGAAGCUACUAUUGCACUUGUGAUGACGGUUUCACUGGAACUGGAAAUGACUCUUGUAUAGAAAUCGAUGAGUGUGAAUCAAAUCCUUGCCAAAAUGGAGCGACUUGCAUGGACGGGAUCAACAUGUAUAACUGCACCU